rnacentral:rRNA from 1 species
CCUACGGGGGGCAGCAGUGGGGAAUAUUGCACAAUGGGGGAAACCCUGAUGCAGCGACGCCGCGUGAGUGAAGAAGUAUUUCGGUACGUAAAGCUCUAUCAGCAGGGAAGAAAAUGACGGUACCUGACUAAGAAGCCCCGGCUAACUACGUGCCAGCAGGCGCGGUAAUACGUAGGGGGCAAGCGUUAUCCGGAUUUACUGGGUGUAAAGGGAGCGUAGACGGCAGCGCAAGUCUGGAGUGAAAUCCCAUGGCUUAACCAUGGAACUGCUUUGGAAACUGUGCAGCUAGAGUGCAGGAGAGGUAAGCGGAAUUCCUAGUGUAGCGGUGAAAUGCGUAGAUAUUAGGAGGAACACCAGUGGCGAAGGCGGCUUACUGGACUGUAACUGACGUUGAGGCUCGAAAGCGUGGGGAGCAAACAGGAUUAGAUACCCGGGUAGUC